rnacentral:rRNA from 1 species
UACCUGGUUGAUCCUGCCAGUAGUCAUAUGCUUGUUUCAAGGACUAAGCCAUGCAAGUCUCAGAGUAAAUGGAUUACAGUAGGUCUGCAGACAGCUCAUUAAAUCAGCUUCAAUCUACGCGGAGAUACUGCCUUUCGGCAGACUAUUGGAUAACUUUGGUAACCCCAAAGCUAAUACAUGUCAGUAGAACCCGCACAGAUUCAACCUGUGGGUUUCGGCUCGCGGGCUGUGUUGGGUGCAAUUGACCGAAACAAAAACCAACGCUAGCAAUAGCAGCGGUGAUUGGAUGACUCAGGUCAAUCGAGUAGUAGCGCAUACUUCGGUGGCGCUUGUCCGCAUGAGAAUCUGCCCUAUCAGCUUUUGACGGUAGGGUCGUGGCCUACCGUGGCUGUAACGGGUAACGGGGAAUUAGGGUUCGAUUCCGGAGAGGGAGCCUGAGAAACGGCUACCACAGCUAAGGUUGGCAGCAGGCGCGCAAAUUGCCCAAUAGCAACACAUCGCUGAGGCAGCGAAGAGAAAUAGCAACUUCAUACGGCCCUGCCGUGUGAAGAUUGCCAUGGACGAUAUCUAAAACUGUCGGUGAGUAUCAAUUGGUGGACAAGUCUGGUGCCAGCACCCGCGGUAAUUCCAGCACCAAUAGC